UCAGAUGAACGCUGGCGGCAGGCCUAACACAUGCAAGUCGAACGGUAGCACAGAGAGCUUGCUCUCGGGUGACGAGUGGCGGACGGGUGAGUAAUGUCUGGGAAACUGCCUGAUGGAGGGGGAUAACUACUGGAAACGGUAGCUAAUACCGCAUAACGUCGCAAGACCAAAGAGGGGGACCUUCGGGCCUCUUGCCAUCAGAUGUGCCCAGAUGGGAUUAGCUAGUAGGUGGGGUAACGGCUCACCUAGGCGACGAUCCCUAGCUGGUCUGAGAGGAUGACCAGCCACACUGGAACUGAGACACGGUCCAGACUCCUACGGGAGGCAGCAGUGGGGAAUAUUGCACAAUGGGCGCAAGCCUGAUGCAGCCAUGCCGCGUGUAUGAAGAAGGCCUUCGGGUUGUAAAGUACUUUCAGCGGGGAGGAAGGUGUUGUGGUUAAUAACCACAGCAAUUGACGUUACCCGCAGAAGAAGCACCGGCUAACUCCGUGCCAGCAGCCGCGGUAAUACGGAGGGUGCAAGCGUUAAUCGGAAUUACUGGGCGUAAAGCGCACGCAGGCGGUCUGUCAAGUCGGAUGUGAAAUCCCCGGGCUCAACCUGGGAACUGCAUUCGAAACUGGCAGGCUAGAGUCUUGUAGAGGGGGGUAGAAUUCCAGGUGUAGCGGUGAAAUGCGUAGAGAUCUGGAGGAAUACCGGUGGCGAAGGCGGCCCCCUGGACAAAGACUGACGCUCAGGUGCGAAAGCGUGGGGAGCAACAGGAUA
rnacentral:rRNA from 1 species